UACGGAGGGUGCGAGCGUUGUUCGGAAUUAUUGGGCGUAAAGCGCGCGUAGGCGGGACGACGAGUCCGGUGUGAAAUCCCUCGGCUCAACCGGGGAAUUGCACUGGAUACUGGCGACCUUGAGUCCUGGAGAGGGUGGCGGAAUUCCCAGUGUAGAGGUGAAAUUCGUAGAUAUUGGGAGGAACACCGGUGGCGAAGGCGGCCACCUGGACAGUGACUGACGCUGAGGCGCGAAAGCAUGGGUAGCAAACAGG
rnacentral:rRNA from 1 species